AUAAAAGUACUGCUGUACUGUUGAUUUAUUUUUAUAUUUUGGUUUUUGGGGGAGAAGCCUGAAAAAAUUAGACAAGUUUCUUGUUUAAAUUAAUUAUAUAAGCCUGAAAUUAGCUAUUACUAAGGAAUUUGUUACAAAGCAAUUUAGAUAUAAAGAAGAAUAAUUAUACUAUUUAGUGAUGGUGGUAAUGGAAAGAAUUAGAUUUAAAUUUAUUUAUGCUAGAAUGAGUAUUAGUCACUAGUUGAAUGGAUUUUAAUUAGAAAAUAAUCUAUAGGCAUGUUUUGUCUAGGAAUUAAGUAGAAAUAAGGAACUCGGCAAAUAGAAGCUUCGCCUGUUUAUCAAAAACACGGCUCUUUGAAUUACUUCUUAUGGAGAGUCGAACCUGCCCAGUGAAAUUUUAACGGCCGCGGUACCCUAACCGUGCAAAGGUAGCAUAAUCAUUUGCCUUAUAAUUAAAGGCUUGUAUGAAUGGUUUGACGGGGCAUUACUGUCUGUUUUUUAUUUUGUAGAAUUUGACUUCCAGGUGAAGAGGCCUGGGUAUAAUUGAAAGACAAGAAGACCCUAUCGAGCUUAAGAAUAAACUAUAAAUAAAUUAUAAAUUAAAAUCACUUGUUAGUUAAUUUUUUUGGUUGGGGCGACCCAGGAACAGGUAAAGCUUCCUGCAUAUUUUCAGUUAACAAAUAAUGAUCCAGCAAGGCUGAUUAGCGAAAUUAGUUACCGUAGGGAUAACAGCAUAAUCCUUCUUGAGAGAUCUAAUCGAAAGAGGGGGUUGUGACCUCGAUGUUGGACUAUAAUAUCCUAAAGAUGUAGAAGUCUUU
rnacentral:rRNA from 1 species